AGCAAAAAACAAACGCGGCAAACUUCCCUCCGUUUUUUUCCCCCUGAAUCCCUCCCCCUUUUUAUUUUCUUUUUGGCUCUCACCUUCCCCAAUUCGUUCAACCCUUCCACUCGUGCUUUGAGUUACGAGGUUCAAAUGAGCAACAACCUUUUCUUCCAGUGCUUUGACUAUUGCUUGAAAUUGAUAUCACAAGUGCAGAGAGAAAAACUCUUGCUAAUAAACAUGAGAUGGAGAAAAUGAGGAUGGACAUGUUUAAAUCAUCAUUGCUGGAAAUAUGGUUCGUGCAGUGCAACAAGUUGUUGGAAGAAGAUUUGUUUUUGGGAUUAAAUUAGAUUAGAAUUUAAUGGCCUUGGUAUAGGGUUCCUUUGUUCUUUUUGCAAGUAUAAAAGCAUACGUUUUAGGAGAUUUAGCUUUUGAAAGUGAGUAAAUAUUGGUGUAUCAAUUUUAUGUAUUGACAUUUAUAUAUAUAAUUUAUUAUUUUAUAUA